GAAAGAGAGGGUGAGUGCAAGGAGGAGAUAUUAGUAGGUGAAGCACAAAGCGCAACAACCGAAAUGAGGAGACAAAGAGAGCGAAAGAGAGCGAGAAAGAAGCUCUUCGUCGCUGGCCAACUGGUCCCAGGAACAAAGAAAUGGGCUAUCGGACAGCGGAUCAAAAGCAGAGCGGCUCGAUAUUCACAAUCGGAGAAAAUCGAAGAAAAUACGAAGCUGCGUUCGCGAGCAUCGGGAUGAGCAACAAAUUAUUGGUGCGCGAGGCUCGUGGGUAUGAAAAAUCGGCGAGAGAUCCACCGAGACGAGGAUUCGUGAAGUCUACCAAAGAAUCUUGGCAGAGAAAAACCAAGAAAGAUUGCAGAAGCGACUGCGUGCGGUGCAUUUUAUCCCAUCGAAGCCAAUUCCCUCUCUCUCUCCAUCACGUGAAAAAUUGCAGCCUUUUUGCUUCCCGGAGAACGAGAAUUUGAAAACGACGAGCUCCAAGAGUCCACGCGCAGACUGACCAUUUUAUGGAAAGGUGGUAUUUAGUACCGACGAAAUAAUGCAAUUAUCAAAUUAACCCUCACACCGAUCUCCACUCGAGCUACGUCGUGUGUGUUCGUACGUUUACGCGGGCACACGUAUUCCUCGCUGCACACCAUUUCCACAUGCAAAAAUGAAAAUAUACACGCACGCAAUUUCUUUAUACACAGGGACGUGCGUGUGUAGACGCGAAACGAGAACGGUGCGGGCGAGAGGACCAACGAGUACGACUCUUUCCCUCGCUUUAAGUGGAUAAUUAUUGGGAUGUAGAGGGGGGCGUCCCUUUACCGGGUUGCGAUCUACGAGAGGUCAAGCGGUCAGUAUUCGGCGAUGUUCGCCGCCACGAAUUUGGAGCGUUCGAUAUCGCCCCAACGCUUGGCCCUGGCCACCUCCUUUAUCUCGUCGCUUCGCACGGGGCGACUAAUGUGAGCUUGCCAACGAAACUGAAGCUGGACGAUCAGUCGCUAAGAAAAAAGAAGAAAAAGCUAACCAACAAGCAGAAAAGGAGAAGUCGAGCCAAAUACGAAGGAUGAAAACGAGGAGGCUGGGAGCUUCGGAGGAAGAAGACGGAAGAAGGAGGAGAGAACCCUCUGGGACUCCGUGGGAAGACUCUCGACUUUGUGAACGAGAACCUGAUGUGAGAUCACGUACACGUACCCGAACACAGAUUCGUCGAGUCGUUCUCGGAGUCGAUUCCAAGGGAAAUGUUUGACGAGCGAUGCGAGUGGAGAAUAAUCAAAGUCGUCUCUAGGGAUGGUUGUAAUACCCUCGUUCUCUGGGGAUGAAGCAGUCGUUCGUGGGGUUAGAACUGUGCGAGACGACCACGAGAGGCGAUUGAGAAGCAUUUCGCAUACCAUUUGAACAGUUUUGGAGUCCAUUUUACUUUUUUAACGACUUGAAACCUACUUACACGAGGCCCGAGAUAUUUUUCGAGUUCGUACAUGCCUCCUAAAAAACUAAAAAUAAUGUUUUUCAAGACUACAUUGUUGAGCCACGGUUACGAUCGGUUCUGCAGCCUGAGAGUUUCACUGUGAUCGUUAUGGACGUUGCGAUCGAACAAUUAGAAAAGCGAUCGAGGGAAGGGAACUGAGAAGCAGCCCCCUACGUUUUGGAGUUCUAGAGCCGAAAGAAGUUGUCCCAACACUCGAAACACCGGCUCUCUUCGAUGACGCGUUUCUCGAGUGCAUAUUGGAAUAAUAACGCACGACCCUACAUUCUCCGAGCUACAUGGGUCUCUGGAAUAACAAUCGUUUUUGGCCAUUAUCUCGAGACAGAAACUAAUAUGUGUUCAAGUUAAUUGGCGGGGCGUUUGAAACCUUCACUCGAUAAAACGAUCGUCGAAUCGUCAUUGUAAUUUAGCAGAUUUCGAUGGAAGACCGAACCCGAAAUCGGAGACGUCGAGUCAUUCGGAAGUUUUUAUACCGAGAAUUGUGCGUCGGAAAUUUUGAUGACAAAUGAAUGGGAGUUUCGGAGGAAUUUUUUGCGAGAAGCAGCGUGAAAACCAACAAACAUCGAUAGAAGUUUGCUUAUUUAACUUAGAAUGGCCAAUGCAUUCUGCCACGUGAAGAAGAAUGAUUUUGCAGAAAAACGCGAAAGAGAACGAAUCGACGGGUGCGGUUCGAUGAUCGUUGACUGGAAAAUUGAGAACUCGUUGCGGAUCAUCUCAGUGUGGAUCGCUCGAGAAAAAGAGCUCCGAUGCAAGAUCUGUCGGUUGUUUUAGUUUCUAUGUGUUUUUAGAAUUUCGUGCCGCACAUUAAAACGUGUCUGUAACCCCGACAAUGCUGCAUAUUAAAGGAGCGAAGAAUUUCAAGAUUUCGGUCCUUCUCGGUGGCGAGCCUGGUGAACAAUGUUUCCACGUUUGUAUAUGGCAACGAAACUGGGGCGUUGGAUAUUUCUUUUAAACUUUGGAGCGCGCACGAUAAAUUCCAUAUUCCUAUCUUCGUCUCGUGGGACGCGAAAGGACGAGAAAAUUCGUGCGUGCGAGCAGGUUCACGUAAUAUUUAUGAAGAAGAAGGCCGAGAGGACCCGAAAAACGGACUGAUGGGCGUCGACGAUCGCGAGAAAGCCUUCCUCGAGUCUUCCAAAAGUAGCUCUUCACCCUCUAUCAUUCUCUCCCUUCUCUUUCUCUCAUGAAACGCGCAUUAUACGCGCGCGAGAGAGAAAUUGAGAUGUCCGGCGGUCCCUCACGGAGAUCGGAGAUGCUGGCCCAUAUAUACAGAUACAUAAAUGCAUGUCUAUGAGUCCUGGGUGCGAUGAUUAAUGCAGACCAAUAUCCGUGGGUGGCCCCCCGAAAAAGAGCCCGUAGAGACUCCGAUGACUCUCGCUGAAAAUCAUCUCAAUUCCAAAUUUAUUGUCCUUAGCAGCGGGGAACGAAAAACGUGUGUGCACUCAUCGCCGUGUCAUCGAGAUUUUACGGAAAUAAAAAAUAAAAACCUGGAGGAGUGAAUGACGGACGAUUUCACUGUGUUUUUGUGCAGGUUUCGCGGCGUGAGAUCGGGCUUGUGUCGAGCCUCCGAACUCUGAAUCCUUUUUUUGAAAUCCGUGAAAAGGAUUCGACGAAAAGAUCGACGGAGCAUCAGAGAAACUAUAAAACUCUGCGGCGAACGGGAAGAAACUUUAAAACUCACAUGAGUUCGGUAAGAACUAUUUUCGAGCAGGAAAUUUAGCGUCGAUUUUAACUUGCGUGAAGAUGAAAAAAUUUGAAUUCACUCAUCAUCCACUUUCUCGACGAAGAGCAGUUUGCAAGCACUUUGAAAUAAUUAUAACUGCGCGGUUGAUAAACGAAAUUGCGAUGAGGGAAUUCGCAGCUCGAAAACAUUCAUAUUUCUACGCAUAAGUGUGCUCUGCGAAGAAAGUGUUUAUGGGAGGAUGCGAAAAAUGCAAGAAAGAAAAGAAGAAGCUGCGAGGAGGGCCGCGCGUGUGAGCAAGCCUCGGAAAACAAGACGGUACGUCAGGAAGGUGCUAUCCGAGAGACAGAUAUUGAGGAAGAGGCGUUACGCUCAUUAUUACGCACGCUGCAGUUCUUCUUCGGUUUAAUAUUCACCGGCCACAAAUCAAGCAACACUUUAAUGCGUUUAAGCUCGAAGGCUCCGCGCAUUCUGCUGCCCUCUCCGCUGUACUCUCCUUGAUGACGAUCCUCGCGCGUACUUACCUCGCUAAACGUUUUACACCCUGAAAGCAAAAGUUCUCAACCAUCGGAAUACAACAUAAAAUUGCUUUGUUUACGACCCCGUUUCCGGAAAAAUACAAAUUUU
rnacentral:lncRNA from 1 species